CAGUUAGCAUCCUGUCUAAUAAUAACAUGCUUGAUAUUGCUAUACUUUAAAUAUAAUUGUAUAUUUUUUUAGAAUAAAGAAAGAUUAACAGAUGAUCUAACAGUUAUUAGUUGCCCAAAUAAUAAGGCUAAUUCAUACUUCAUUGCAUUUCUUAAGUGCAAACACGUUAUGACACCCAAUAAAUUUAUACUUGAAACUCAGGAGUUUAAAGUAACUGCUUGCCUAAAUAACUGCUCUAAGACAGAAAAGUAUUAAUCAAAACUGGAAGAUAGUCAAAGGCAAAAUAAAGGUAUGUUCAUAAAGUUACAAUUUUGCAAACAAGUUAGGUAAAAGGAUGUUAGAAGGAGAAGCAGGGGAAGCACUAAAACAUUGAAAUAUAAAUAUUUUAUAUUUUUAAAAAUGAUAAGUAUGUUGAAAGAAUUUUGUGAGAUUCUCAGGAGAAAUUUGAGGUAUGCCCAUUUUUGGUUUUGCUGUUUAUGAUGGUAGGAAGAAAAGAAAUGCAAGUGAUUAAGGCAUUACUGUAAUACUUAAAGUAACUUGGAUCACUUCCUGACACCUUUAGGCAUUAAGAAAAAAAGUAGCUAUAGAUAUCUGUUUUCCAGCCACAAUCUGUGACAUCAUAUUUCUUAAUAACAGAGUCUGAAAGAGCCAUAAUUUUUCAAAACUUGUUCUCUAAGAAAAGUUGGAUUCAUUUUUUGGGAAACAGAACUAAGAGGUCAGGGUGGGGAGCAAGGAGGUGUGGGGGACGCUUGGGGUGUUUUUGGCAUUGGUUUUAUGUUUGGGAUUUCAGUCCACUUAGGUAUCACCCAGCGUGACACUCAAGUCUUAUCUUACCAGUGGUUUGAAUGGCCUUAACCUUAUGCAAGUGAGCUGAAAGUUCAUCUCUCUGGCUGUUGCAGAGAACACCAGUCAGCAGCUAUGGCGAUAUUUUUCCUGGCUAUUAUGAAUGUACAUUGGAUAUAAGCUUUUCUUCUGCCUGAUGUGUGCAAGGUGAUGAAGAAUCCCUUUCCAUUUUGGAGAGCGCAAGCUGCCUACAAGUCUGACUCUUCAUCACCCUUAGAAGUGCUGGAAAUAAAGUGGUUGAAAUCACCCUUUAGCUGAAGCUGCCAAGCCUUUGUCUACAGGCUGUUUCUGCUGAAAACAGGGGCUGGUAUUUUUCAACUUUUCUCUGAUCACUUGAUGUGCAGUUCCUGAUUUCAGAGUCAGAACUUCAUGGAGAUGUUGUGUUGGAAUGGACCUUAAGAUGUCAUCUAAUCUAUCCCUCUGCUCUCUAAGGGAUCAGUUACACAGAGUGUUACUGGCAGACAUUUGUCUAAUAUUUUUAAAAAAUAGUCAAUUCAAGGCCUUCCUCAACUUCACUGAGCAACUGUUCUUCCAGUAAGAAAUUUUUCCCCAUUACUUUAAUUAUUUUUUUAAUGCAAAAGCACCACUUCCUUCUUUCCUUACCCCCAUGGAAUAUGAAGAACAGUUGAUUGUGAUGGGAACAGUUCCAGGCGUGGAGAAAAACAUACAGCAAUUGACAGGAUUUUAUUAUAUGGACCUUACAGUUAUUAUAUGGACUUUACUGUUAUUAUGUGGUUUCAUUGUAUUCACACUACACAGCGCACAGCCUGGACAUGCCCAGGCUUGCCAUGAGUUUGCCUGCUCCCUGCUUCCUCCGCUCCUCCCCCUUUUGCCCAUGUCCCUAUCCUGGUUUGUCCCCCCCUCUUGUCUGUCUCAUGCUCCACUCUAUGUUCUGGCUCUUUCCCCUCCUGAGAUGAUAAAAGACCGCGUGCACACGUGAAUAGAGGAUUCUACUUGCACCCUAUCUUGUAUUCCGGACUCGUGCUGUGCUACGGUUCCAUCCCCCCUUCAGACCGUGGCAGUCGAUCACUCUUAUAAUCAUGGCUAGGCUUCGCAAAUGAAGAUUUGGGACUCUUAUAAUAAUGAUUUAUUUAUGUGACCACUUUUAUCACUACUGUUCUAUCUCAUCUGUUUGAUUCUGUUGAUUGCCUCAGCAGCUGUAUAUAUAACAAUGAUCUCACUGGUAGUAGAGUUUGACUCUGUUAUCUUUAAUAAAUAUAGGUGUUUUCUAGUGAAUCUGAUAAUUUAUUCUAUGCAUAUAUACAUAAAAGAGAAAGAGAGAGACUAAAGUUCUAAAUAAGAUUUCUGCAAGAAGUACAAAUAUAUUUCACAAUUUCAGAAAUUAUGAAGCAUAUACAAUAUAUAUUUACUAAGUUGAUAUAUUAUACUUUCCACUUGCUGUAUAUAUAUGAUACUACAGUGUGGGCAAAUAUAGUACAAAAUUACGAAUAAACUAAAAAUACAAAAAUUCAUUUAAUAUCCAGAAAGAGCUUCUGUGGCUUUGGUAUAGUCACAUUCUGCCUAGUGACCAAGAUAUUAAAGGGAGUGUCAGCUUCAGGCUAAUUAUUCCAUAGUCAAACAUUGUCUUUAUGUGUAAGGCACAAAAGCACAAAAGCACACACACGAUAAAAUCACAAACCACUCAUGCUUCUGAGCUUCUAAAACAGAAAUAGAGAAAUACUAUUAAAAAUUUGUACUUCAGUUUGGUUCAGAUUUUUAAACCAAUGAACUCUGGCAGGUUCACAUUUUUUCCCAAACAGUUCACCCAACCAUCAUCAAAAUGAGUUGUAAUGAAAAGAACUGCAAUAUAAAAAAAAAAAAGGCUUUGAAAGACCUUAAAGUUCUGAAACUUUUGAUCCAACACGUGUUGUCCACAGGCCUUCUUAAAGAGAUUUCCAAAAGGGGAAAUAUAUCCUUCUAGUUCCAAAUACAAAUCUAGAAAAAAGGUCAGAAGGCGAGCGAGUACCCUCAUAAAAACUGCAAUAUUUGGGUCAUUUUGCCACAAUAUGAUAUAUUUUCAAAGUCUACAACUCAUUUUCUGGCUUCUAGUUCUUAUAUUCUUUGGUAUUUCAUAGCAAUUUAUCUUUCAUGUCAUAUGUUAAAAAUAGGAUUCCAUGUCUUAACAAAUGAAAGAGUUGUAAGAUUUCAUUGCUACUGCUCCAUACUCAUCGUUUGUAUAGGAUUAACACGCUCAGAAGCACAGAGAUACUGAGUUACAGCUUCAUCCCUCAUAAAAGAGAGCACAUUUUUAUUCGGGGAAAAAGUAGUAUCAAAGUACUUUCUAGUUCUUUGCAUGCACUUGUUUAAAGAAACUUUUUCUCUCUUUCCUUUUCUCUAUAUGCCUCCUCUGCUCACCGACCUAAGAGAAAGUGUGCUUUGAUUCACUUCUGUCUGUUAUGUUGUAAGACUUAUAUUCUCUAAAAGAUAUGUUUGGACUUAAAUUUGUAAAGUUUUUGUAAAAGAUUGUUUAAUGAUCCAAUCAGUACAAAAUAAUAAUGUUGUCAAAAGCAA